rnacentral:lncRNA from 1 species
GUGAUGUUUUCAAUCUGAAUGGUGAUUUCCACAUGAUUUCCCUGCACAAAAAUGUGGUUUUUAUUCUUUAAUUAUGCAUAGUUAAUUAAAUGUCAGACAAGCUGGUACAAUAAGUGACACAAUAGUCCUUUCCCAAAAGGAGCACCUCCCAGUCACUCAGAUUGUGAUGACAGACGCAGGCCAACCACAUUCCGAAGCAGAUUAUACACUGGGGCCACUGCUCUGCCGCGGAGAUACAAGAAUUCUGAAAGUAUGGAGAAGAGAAAGUGUGAUAUUUGAAAUAUUCCCUUCUCUUUUUGGGAGACUGAGAUGGGAGGAUGGCUUGAGCCUAGGAGUUCAACACAAGC